CCCUUAGAUGUCCUGGGCCGCACGCGCGUUACACUGAUGCAUCCAACGAGUUUCACCUUGGCCGAGAGGCCUGGGCAAUCUUUUAAACCUGCAUCGUGAUAGGGAUAGAUUAUUGCAAUUAUUAAUCUUGAACGAGGAAUUCCUAGUAAACGCAAAUCAUCAAUUUGCAUUGAUUACGUCCCUGCCCUUUGUACACACCGCCCGUCGCACCUACCGAUUGAAUGGUCCGGUGAAGCCUCGGGAUUGUGGCCAGUUCACUUUAUUGGGAGUUGGCUGUGAGAACUUGUCUAAACCUUAUCAUUUAGAGGAAGGUGAAGUCGUAACA
rnacentral:rRNA from 1 species